rnacentral:lncRNA from 1 species
UCAGAGGUCCUAUCAGGGUGACUCAAUAUGAAUCAAGUGUUACAAUUUUGAAUAGAAUCGGACUGGGAUCAGAUCUACCGCACGAAUUUCGGAGCAAUCUCAAAUCAUCUUAUUUUCAUCUUUAAGUUUAUUCUAGGAUUCAUGAUGCAAUCAGAGAGAGAGAGUAGAAAGAUUCUAGAGAGAUAAAAUCCACAAAAAGAGAGAAAGAUCUAGAGAGAGAAUCUAGAGAGAGAAAAUAUAGAGAGAGAAGAUAGAGAGAGGAGAGAGAAAGGAGGG